GACGAACGCUGGCGGCGUGCUUAACACAUGCAAGUCGAACGGAAAGGCCCUGCUUUUGUGGGGUGCUCGAGUGGCGAACGGGUGAGUAACACGUGAGUAACCUGCCCUUGACUUUGGGAUAACUUCAGGAAACUGGGGCUAAUACCGGAUAGGAGCUCCUGCUGCAUGGUGGGGGUUGGAAAGUUUCGGCGGUUGGGGAUGGACUCGCGGCUUAUCAGCUUGUUGGGGGGGUAGUGGCUUACCAAGGCUUUGACGGGUAGCCGGCCUGAGAGGGUGACCGGGCACAUUGGGCCUGAGAUACGGCCCAGACGGGUACGGGAGGCAGCGGGGGGGAAUAUUGCAGAAUGGGCGGGAGCGUGAUGCAGCAACGCCGCGUGCGGGAUGCCGGCCUUCGGGUUGUAAACCGCUUUCGCCUGUGACGAAGCGAGAGUGACGGUAAUGGGUAAAGAAGCACCGGCUAACUACGUG
rnacentral:rRNA from 1 species